rnacentral:rRNA from 1 species
AUUGAACGCUGGCGGCAGGCCUAACACAUGCAAGUCGAGCGGGGCGGCUGACGGGCGAGUAAUGCCUAGGAGUCUGCCUGGUAGUGGGGGAUAACUUCCGGAAACGGGCGCUAAUUACGCAUGCUAGCCGAUGAACCUGGGUCGGAUUGGCUAGGUGGUGGGGUAAAGGCCUACCAAGGCGACGGUCCGUACCUGGUCUGAGAGGAUGAUCAGUCACACUGGAACUGAGACACGGUCCAGACUCCUACGGGAGGCAGCAGUGGGGAAUAUUGGACAAUGGGCGAAAGCCUGAUCCAGCCAUGCCGCGUGUGUGAAGAAGGUCUUCGGAUUGUAAAGCACUUUAAGUUGGGAGGCGUUACCAGCAGAAGAAGCACCGGCUAACUUCGUGCCAGCAGCCGCGGUAAUUC